ensembl:misc_RNA 7SK 7SK RNA
GGAAACCCUAUGGGGCAGUUCUACUCUGUUCUAUCGGGUUGCUAUGAGUGUCCUCUUCCUCCCUCACCACUCCCUGUGUGUUCCUCCUGAAGCUGUGUCCUUGGUCAAAGAGGACAACCUUUCCUGAUAGAGGAGGCCCAUUCUUUGGUCAAGGGUAUAUGAGUAGCUGCGCUUCUCUGGUAGAACCUCAAAACAAGCUCUUGAGCUCCAUAGCGGUUUUAGUGGCUGAUUUUUUUGGAAGUAUAUCUCCUGGCCUUUCUUCUGAAGUGCCUCUGG